rnacentral:rRNA from 1 species
ACCCGACUGCUAUCGGAGUGGGACUAAGCCAUGCGAGUCCUGCGUCCUCGGCUGCGGGGGCGCGGCGCACGGCUCAGUAACACGUAGUCAACCUGCCCUGGAGACGCGGAUAAUCCCGGGAAACUGGGGCUAAUCCGCGAUAGGCCUGGGGUGCUGGAAGGCCCCUAGGCCGAAAGGGGCAGGCGGGCAUGCUCCGUCUGUCCGCUCCAGGAUGGGACUGCGGCCGAUCAGGUUGUUGGUGGGGUAAUGGCCCACCAAGCCUAUAACCGGUACGGGCUCUGAGAGGAGGAGCCCGGAGAUGGGCACUGAGACAAGGGCCCAGGCCCUACGGGGCGCAGCAGGCGCGAAACCUCCACAAUGCGCGAAAGCGCGAUGGGGUCACUCCGAGUGCCACCCGCUGAGGGUGGCUUUUCCCGGGCCUAAAAAGCCCGGGGAAUAAGGGGAGGGCAAGCCUGGUGUCAGCCGCCGCGGUAAUACCAGCUCCCCGAGUGGUCGGGACGAUUAUUGGGCCUAAAGCAUCCGUAGCCGGCCCGGUAGGUCUCCUGUUAAAUCCAACGGCUCAACCGUUGGGCCGCAGGAGAUACCGCCGGGCUAGGGGGCGGGAGAGGCGGACGGUAUUCCGCGGGUAGGGGUAAAAUCCUCUGAUCCGCGGAGGACCACCAGUGGCGAAGGCGGUCCGCCAGAACGCGCCCGACGGUGAGGGAUGAAAGCUGGGGGAGCGAACCGGAUUAGAUACCCGGGUAGUCCCAGCUGUAAACGAUGCGGGCUAGGUGCUGGAAGGGCUACGGGCCUUUCCAGUGCCGCAGGGAAGCCGUUAAGCCCGCCGCCUGGGGAGUACGGCCGCAAGGCUGAAACUUAAAGGAAUUGGCGGGGGAGCACCACAAGGGGUGAAGCCUGCGGUUCAAUUGGAGUCAACGCCGGGAACCUUACCCGGGGUGACAGCAGGAUGAAGGUCAUGCUAAAGACAUUACCAGACGAGCUGAGAGGAGGUGCAUGGCCGUCGCCAGCUCGUGCCGUGAGGUGUCCUGUUAAGUCAGGCAACGAGCGAGACCCCCGCCGCUAGUUGCUACCAUCUCCCGAAAGGGAGAUGGGGCUAAUUAGCGGGACUGCCACCGCUAAGGUGGAGGAAGGAGGGGGCCACGGCAGGUCAGUAUGCCCCGAAACCCCGGGGCCACACGCGGGCUGCAAUGGUAGGGACAAUGGGAGCCGACCCCGAAAGGGGGAGGAAAUCCCCAAACCCUACCCCAGUUAUGACUGAGGGCUGCAACCCGCCCUCACGAAUCUGGAAUCCCUAGUAACCGCGCGUCACCAUCGCGCGGUGAAUACGUCCCUGCUCCU